rnacentral:piRNA from 1 species
UGCACUAGGCCUUGGAAGGUGGGUGU